GAGUUUGAUCUUGGCUCAGAUUGAACGCUGGCGGCAGGCCUAACACAUGCAAGUCGAGCGGAUGACGGGAGCUUGCUCCUUGAUUCAGCGGCGGACGGGUGAGUAAUGCCUAGGAAUCUGCCUGGUAGUGGGGGACAACGUUUCGAAAGGAACGCUAAUACCGCAUACGUCCUACGGGAGAAAGCAGGGGACCUUCGGGCCUUGCGCUAUCAGAUGAGCCUAGGUCGGAUUAGCUAGUUGGUGGGGUAAUGGCUCACCAAGGCGACGAUCCGUAACUGGUCUGAGAGGAUGAUCAGUCACACUGGAACUGAGACACGGUCCAGACUCCUACGGGAGGCAGCAGUGGGGAAUAUUGGACAAUGGGCGAAAGCCUGAUCCAGCCAUGCCGCGUGUGUGAAGAAGGUCUUCGGAUUGUAAAGCACUUUAAGUUGGGAGGAAGGGCAGUAAGUUAAUACCUUGCUGUUUUGACGUUACCGACAGAAUAAGCACCGGCUAAC
rnacentral:rRNA from 1 species